GAGCUGAAAAAUUCUUCUUUUAGAAGAAACUAUGAAUAGUGAAAAGGCCUUGAAAAAUGCAAGAUGCUAUAUGAAUGUAAGGCAAGACUUAUUACUUUUAUUACCUACAUAUCUUGUUCCACAUUAACUCAAAAUCAUUAUGAAGUGUCUCAAAUGAUAACAAUAAUAGCUAAUAUUAUUGAGUAAACUUAAUGUGUCUAAGCAUGGUUGUAAGCAUUUUACAUGUGUUGAUGCAUUUAAUCCUCCCAGCAUCCCUAUAAAGCAGGUACUAUUAUUAUCAUCCCACUUUUACUAAUUAGGAAAGUGAAGCACAGGGAAGUGAAGAAACUUUCCCAGAGUAACAUACCUAAGAAGGUGGCACAUUUGAUGUUCAAAUCCAGUCUGAUGCCACCAGAACCCAUCCUCUGAACAACCACACUACAUUGGGAGAUAUGUACUGGAUUGACAAUCUAGAGAUGAUGAUACUAAGGUAUGGUGUUGGCAUUGAGUAAACAGGAGUGAACAAAACUAACAAAACUCUCUCUCUCAUGGAGUUUACAUUUUGAUAUCAGAAAUCAUGAAAGCAAUGAAGACUAAAGGAACUGACAUUCCAGGAAGGGAAGAACCAAUCCUAGGGUAAGCAAAAAUCACUGACCAUUUUCUUUCCUAUAGGUUUCCUGUGUAAUUCGUUUUGGAAAAUAAUUCUGCAGUUGCAGAUUCAGGGCUGAGAAUUAUACCUGCAUAGGCAAGACAAAUGUCUCCAGGGGACAUUUGCUGAGUGCUGGGGUGAUAUAGGAACCUGGGGAAUUGGUUCACAAAGAUGAAAAAUCUCAUAUGGCCUCAUGGUACUUAGGAGACAAUGAUGUCUACUUUGGAAAG